GAUAUCUCCCGAGGAAGUCAAGC
rnacentral:siRNA from 1 species